rnacentral:rRNA from 1 species
ACGAACGCUGGCGGCGUGCUUAACACCUGCCAGUCGAACGGAAAGGCCCUGCUUUUGUGGGGUGCUCGAGUGGCGAACGGGUGAGUAACACGUGAGUAACCUGCCCUUGACUUUGGGAUAACUUCAGGAAACUGGGGCUAAUACCGGAUAGGAGCUCCUGCUGCAUGGGGGGGGUUGGAAAGUUUCGGCGGUUGGGGAUGGACUCGCGGCUUAUCAGCUUGUUGGUGGGGUAGUGGCUUACCAAGGCUUUGGCGGGUAGCCGGCCUGAGAGGGUGACCGGCCACAUUGGGACUGAGCUACGGCCCAGACUCCUACGGGAGGCAGCAGUGGGGAAUAUUGCACAAUGGGCGGAAGCCUGAUGCAGCAACGCCGCGUGCGGGAUGACGGCCUUCGGGUUGUAAACCGCUUUCGCCUGUGACGAAGCGUGAGUGACGGUAAUGGGUAAAGAAGCACCGGCUAACUACGUG